rnacentral:pre_miRNA from 1 species
AAUGUUUGACACCGUUGACUUUUUAGCACAUGUUUGACCGUUUGUCUUAUUCAAAAAAUUUAAGUAAUUAUUAAUUCUUUUCCUAUCAUUUGAUUCAUUGUUAAAUAUAUUUUUAUGUAGGCAUAUAAUUUUACAUAUUUCACAAAAAAAUUUGAAUAAGACGAACGGUCAAACAUGUGCUAAAAAGUCAACGGUGUCAAACAUU